GGAAUACUUGUGAUUUUGAGACAUACAUUAUCACAAUAGUGAGAUUAUAGGCACAUUAAAAACUUCAAACUUGGCUCAGAUUGUUAAAAACAUUCUAGAAGUGUUACUAAAGCAACAACAACUACAAUAGCGCCAACAACAGCAGCAACAACAACUAUUCCUACAACCACAUACAUGCCAACAACACCAUUCAUUGACCAAAGGCCCGUAUCAGCAGAGCAGAUCAUAAUUGGCCUGGUCACCUGUAUUUGUCUACUUGUUGUGGCUGCAUCAGGUCUGUUUGUUUAUACCCUCUGGAGAAAGACAGCUUUGCCAUGUGUCAAAAUCAAGAGAGUUGGAUGAUGAAACAAAAACCACAGACAAACCACAGGUGUUUGUUAUUGCAAAUGAGCACACAUAUGCGAACGCUGGUAAAUCCAAGGUGCAGAGGAUGGAAGACCACAUUACUUACAGUGACCUGACCAUCCUAAGGGCUAACGCCAAACCAUCGCCAGCCACAGAGAUGACUGAAUAUGUCAGUGUUAGAAUCUGCACUUCUGAAGUUUAACAUGCAUAAUAAUGCACAAAUAUGAAUCUCUUCAAGGACAAUGCUUUAAAGUCACAAGGGUGGGAGCAGCUCAGAAUUGGAAUCUUUUGAAGUUUAUUUUGUAUGGUUUUGAUGGGGUUACUAAAAAUAUGAUUUCGAUUGCAAUGAUUCUAAAUAUCAUAAUGUUUUGUAUUCUAUACAUUUAAUAUAUUAGUAUUAGUAUGUAUCCUUUUUGUAAAUGUUUUGAAUCAUGACAGUAAAGUAGCCUAUAAUAUAGUUUAGAUAGCAUGUACUGUAGCUUAAUGAAAAAAACUGCAUUACACCUAUUUAGUGGUUUUCUCACAAUUUUACCAAUAAACCAUUGUUUAUAAGUAAA